ensembl:snRNA U6 U6 spliceosomal RNA
GUGCUUGCUUGGGUAGCACAUAUACCAAAAUUGGAAUGACCCCUGCACAGGGAUGAAAUGCAAAUUCGUGAAGUAUACCGCAUUUUU